rnacentral:lncRNA from 1 species
ACUACUACUACUACUACUACUGACUCCUUACCAUCUUUAUCUGCUGCUCCAGACUUUUGAUACCAUAUUGAAUCUUUCAGAGGCACACAGUCUUGAGGACUGCAGACACACCCAGCCUUGUUGGGUGAUUCUCAGUUUCCACGUGAAAGUCAGCUACUGUAGGAUUACUCUAACUGCUGAGCAACCCCAUCUCAAAGACUGUGUAACAACCAGACUCUUAGCCUCGCUGGUGUUGGACAGCUGUUGUUACUAUUUCAAGGCUAAGGCACUAGAAGAUGAAUUGAAGCAUACAGCUUCCCUAGGAAAUGUCUACUGCAGAGAAUUCAAUUGUAAAUGGAUCAAGGACUUUAACACAAGAUCUGAAACCCUGAAACUGUAAGAUGAAAAAAUAAGGAGCCUGCUUCACUUCACAGACACAGGUAAGGACUUUCUGAAUAAGACUUUCUUGUCACAGAAAAUAAGACUAAUGAUAGACAAAUUGUAUCUCGUGGAACUAACUAAAAAGUUCUGUACAGGAAAUAAAACAGUGAAGUGAGUGAAGACGCUGCCCACAAAAAGGGAGAACA